GAUGAACGCUGGCGGCGUGCCUAAUACAUGCAAGUCGAGCGAACAGACGAGGAGCUUGUGCCUCUGACGUUAGCGGCGGACGGGAGAGUAACACGUGGAUAACCUACCUAUAAGUCUGGGAUAACUUCGGGAAACCGGCGCUUAUACCGGAUAAUCUCUUGAUCCGCAUGGGGCGAUGGUGAAAGACGGCGUUGCGGUCACUUCUAGCUGGAUCUGCGCCGCAUUAGCUAGUUGGUAGGGUAACGGCUUAGCAAGGCAACUAUGCGUAUCCGACGUGUGGGAGUGGUAGCCCGCAUGGGAGGGUGGACAGGGACCUGGGUCCUAAGGGAGGCAGCAGACGGGUAUCGGCGGCAGUGGGGGGGAGUCUGACGGAGCGGCGGCGCGUGUGUGGUGGAGGUCUUGGGAUCGUAAAGCCCGGUUUUGGGGGAUGAACAAAUGUGUAAGUAGCUAUGCACGUAUUGACGGUACCGGGUCAGAAAGCCACGGCUAACUACGUG
rnacentral:rRNA from 1 species